ACGAACGCUGGCGGCAGGCUUAACACAUGCAAGUCGAACGCCCCGCAAGGGGAGUGGCAGACGGGUGAGUAACACGUGGGAACAUGCCCCAAGGUACGGAACAACUCCGGGAAACUGGAGCUAAUACCGUAUGUGCCCGAGAGGGGAAAGAUUUAUCGCCUUGGGAUUGGCCCGCGUCUGAUUAGCUAGUUGGUAGGGUAAUGGCCUACCAAGGCUACGAUCAGUAGCUGGUCUGAGAGGAUGGCCAGCCACACUGGGACUGAGACACGGCCCAGACUCCUACGGGAGGCAGCAGUGGGGAAUAUUGGACAAUGGGCGAAAGCCUGAUCCAGCCAUGCCGCGUGAGUGAUGAAGGCCUUAGGGUUGUAAAGCUCUUUCGGCGGGGACGAUAAUGACGGUACCCGCAGAAGAAGCCCCGGCUAACUUCGU
rnacentral:rRNA from 1 species